rnacentral:rRNA from 1 species
UAGGGAAUCUUCCACAAUGGGCGCAAGCCUGAUGGAGCAACACCGCGUGAGUGAAGAAGGGUUUCGGCUCGUAAAGCUCUGUUGUUAAAGAAGAACACGUAUGAGAGUAACUGUUCAUACGUUGACGGUAUUUAACCAGAAAGUGACGGCUAAAUACGUGCCAG